CAGUCGCCGCGGUAAUGCGUAGGGCGCGAGCGUUAAUCGGAAUUACUGGGCGUAAAGCGUGCGCAGGCGGUUAUAUAAGACAGAUGUGAAAUCCCCGGGCUCAACCUGGGACCUGCAUUUGUGACUGUAUAGCUAGAGUACGGUAGAGGGGGAUGGAAUUCCGCGUGUAGCAGUGAAAUGCGUAGAUAUGCGGAGGAACACCGAUGGCGAAGGCAAUCCCCUGGACCUGUACUGACGCUCAUGCACGAAAGCGUGGGGAGCAAACAGGAUUAGAUACCCCUGUAGUCCCUGUCUCUUAUAC
rnacentral:rRNA from 1 species